rnacentral:rRNA from 1 species
UCAGGACAAACGCUGGCGGCGUGCCUAACACAUGCAAGUCGAACGAAGACGCCGGGAAAAGAGGCUUCGGCCAAUGGAACCGGGGACUUAGUGGCGGACGGGUGAGUAAUGCAUGAGCAACCUGCCCCGGAGUGGGGGACAACAGUUGGAAACGACUGCUAAUACCGCAUGACGUUGUCGGGGGACAUCCCCUGACAACCAAAGAUUUAUCGCUCUGGGAUGGGCUCAUGUCUGAUUAGCCAGUUGGCGGGGUAACGGCCCACCAAAGCAACGAUCAGUAGCCGGACUGAGAGGUUGAACGGCCACAUUGGGACUGAGAUACGGCCCAGACUCCUACGGGAGGCAGCAGUGGGGAAUAUUGGGCAAUGGGCGCAAGCCUGACCCAGCAACGCCGCGUGAAGGAAGAAGGCUUUCGGGUUGUAAACUUCUUUUAUCAGGGACGAAGGAUGUGACGGUACCUGAUGAAUAAGCCACGGCUAACUACGUGCCAGCCGCCGC